rnacentral:lncRNA from 1 species
GUUCCCCAUCCCCCCCACAGAUGGCCCCGAUGGCCUGGGGGCGGUGCUGGCGCAGGCGCUGGGCGUGCUGGGCGUGGUGAGGAAGCAGCGGCUGCUCUACCUGGUGGGGCAGACACGGGUGCACCUGGACAGCGUGGAGGGGCUGGGCGACUUCCUGGAGCUGGAGGUGGUGCUGAGCGAGGACCAGAGCGUGGAGCACGGCGAGCGCGUGGCCCGCGAGCUGAUGGCGGAGCUGGGGGUGCAGGACGAGGACCUGGUCACCGGCGCGUAUCUGGACCUUCUGCUGGCCAAGGGGGGCGCGAGCCCCUGAGGGUGUGGGGGGGGCAGCGCCGUGCUCCCCCCGCUGCGUGGGGGUGUGUGGGCACUGCUCCCCGCGGGCACCGCCAGCCCCCUGCCCUCAGGUGCCCAAUAAAAGCUCUGGCAGAUGGCUUCUCCGUGCCUGGGACUGGCUGCGCCCUCACACCGGGACCGGCCUGGGAUGCCCACAGCUGUCCCGGGGGGGGACACAGCCCUGGGGGGGGCAGUGGGUGGAUGGAGGGGAACAGGAUGGCGCCGUGCAGGAGGCUCUGUCCCAGCAGAACUUGGCCCUAAGCCUGGAUCACGUCCUCCCCCCGUGGAGCCCUGCCCGGUGCUGCUGGGGGUG